AGAGUUUGAUCAUGGCUCAGAAUGAACGCUGGCGGCGUGCUUAACACAUGCAAGUCGAACGAGAACUCUUCUGCUUGCAGAAGAAAGUAAAGUGGCGUACGGGUGAGUAACGCGUAGGUAAUCUGCCCAUAAUCAAGGGAUAACAUUGCGAAAGCGAUGCUAAAACCGUAUAAAGUCAGUCAAUCACAAGAUAUGAGGAUGAAAGGUAGCCUCUAUAAAAAAGCUACUGAUUAUGGAUGAGCCUGCGUACCAUUAGCUAGUUGGUAAGGUAAGGGCUUACCAAGGCAACGAUGGUUAGCUGGUCUGAGAGGAUGAUCAGCCACACUGGAACUGAAACACGGUCCAGACUCCUAUGGGAGACAGCAGUGAGGAAUUUUGCGCAAUGGGGGAAACCCUGACGCAGCAACGCCGCGUGAGUGAUGAAGGCCUUCGGGUCGUAAAGCUCUGUCAAGUGGGAAGAAAGUAUAAUAUACAAAAAAGAUAAUAUAUUGACGGUACCAUUAGAGGAAGCACCGGCUAACUCCGUGCCAGCAGCCGCGGUAAUACGGAGGGUGUAAGCGUUAUUCGGAAUUAUUGGGCGUAAAGGGCGCGUAGGCGGUUUUAUAAGUCAAGUGUGAAAUCCCGAGGCUUAACUUCGGAAGAGCAUAUGAAACUAUAAGACUUGAGUAUGGGAGAGGGAAGUAGAAUUCCUGGUGUAGAGGUGAAAUUCGCAGAUAUCAGGAAGAACACCAGUGGCGAAGGCGACUUCCUGGACCAAUACUGACGCUAAGGCGCGAAGGCGUGGGUAGCAAACAGGAUUAGAUACCCUGGUAGUCCACGCAGUAAACGUUGAACAUUAGGUGUAGCGGGUAUUGACCCCUGCUGUGCCGAAGCUAACGCAUUAAAUGUUCCGCCUGGGAAGUACGAUCGCAAGAUUAAAACUCAAAGGAAUUGACGGGGGCCCGCACAAGCGGUGGAGCAUGUGGUUCAAUUCGACGCAACGCGAAGAACCUUACCUGGGUUUGACAUCUCAGGAAUCUUUUUGAAAAAAAAGAGUGCCUCAUAAGAGGAGCCUGAAGACAAGUGCUGCAUGGCUGUCGUCAGCUCGUGUCGUGAGAUGUUGGGUUAAGUCCCGCAACGAGCGCAACCCUUAUCUUUAGUUGCCAUCAUUAAGUUGGGAACUCUAAAGAUACUGCUCCGGUUAACGGGGAGGAAGGUGGGGAUGACGUCAAGUCCUCAUGGCCUUUAUAUUCAGGGCUACACACGUGCUACAAUGGGAUGUACAAAGGGUAGCGACCUUGAGAAAGGAAGCCAAUCUCAAAAAGCAUUCCUCAGUACGAAUUGGAGUCUGCAACUCGACUCCAUGAAGCUGGAAUCGCUAGUAAUCGCGGAUCAGCAUGCCGCGGUGAAUACGUUCCCGGGCCUUGUACACACCGCCCGUCACACCAUGAGAGUUGGUUGUACCAGAAGUUGUUAUGUGAACCAAUUGAGGGAGCAUGCACCGAAGGUAUGGCUGAUGAUUGGGGUGAAGUCGUAACAAGGUAACCGUA
rnacentral:rRNA from 1 species